AAAUUGAAGAGUUUGAUCAUGGCUCAGAUUGAACGCUGGCGGCAGGCCUAACACAUGCAAGUCGAACGGUAACAGGAAGCAGCUUGCUGUUUUGCUGACGAGUGGCGGACGGGUGAGUAAUGUCUGGGAAACUGCCUGAUGGAGGGGGAUAACUACUGGAAACGGUAGCUAAUACCGCAUAACGUCGCAAGACCAAAGA
rnacentral:rRNA from 1 species